UCGUAGCUCAGUUGGAUAGAGCAACGGCCUUCUAAGCCGUAGGUCGCAGGUUCAAGUCCUGCCGGG
rnacentral:tRNA from 1 species